UCUCUUGUGUCCUCUGUGAGACGGGGAUGAGGACAGUGUGGACUUCAGAGAGCUUCUCUGAGGAUUAAUGAGCUAGUUCAGGUGAUGCACUCAGCACUUGCCUGGCACACAGGAAGUGCCCAGUAAAUGCUUGCCCUUGUCGUCAGCGCAGCAGAAACCAAGUUGACCUGCUGGCUUAGAGAGUUCUCGGUCAGCAGACUCAGAUUCACAAGCAGCAUCUGCCUUGGAGCCUCCCCUUAGCCUGACACACUCAAAUGCCGAAUUUGAUCCAAGGUAGGUUCACCUUGGACUUGGCUUUUGAAGGUUUUGUUACCAGGGGAACUCAAUUCCCUGAUUGCACGGGUAACAGAAGCACCAAGAAGAGGGCAACUUCGGGAGGGCCCAGAGGACAGUACUGCAGAGGGAGACUCCACGUUCUUGCACUAGAGCAUCUUCCGGCGUAUUCGGAGGAAGGCAGGAAACGUCCACCUCCCAGGCGAUGCGUUAGUUCUUAGUGUCACUUCUUUCCCUCGGUGGUAGCGGGAAAAUGUCACUUUGCCAUCCUUUGGAGGAGGGAUGCAGAUCCCCGGCUGCAGACCUUUUUCACCCCCUUUUCCCACCGUGGGAGGACUGGGACCUCGGUUCUUCUCAACAGCUGUUUUCAGUUUUUCACCGUGAAUUGUGGGUAAACAGCCUCCUGUAUCAGAUAAAGGCUCUAUCAGCUCAGCAGCUCACCUCCUACAUACACCCUCUUUCUCAUGAAUACAAGUCUGCCUUAGGAGUAAGUUGAACUCGAUUUUGUUUCCUGGGUUGCUAUCUUGAACUAAUAACUGGGAGGAACCUUGAGUUCAGCGUAGGCUCCCGGCUGUCUCUGGCGUUCACCGGCUGCCAUCUGCUGGGCAAUCCUGGUAUGACAUGGUCUCCCUGGCUAGCAGGCUGUUUCACCAGGGGUGAGGAGGUUUGCCCAUUCAAUCAAAAAAUAUUUAUUGAACAGAAACUGUGUGCCAGGCAUAGUUCUAGGCCAUUGGGAUUCCUCAGUGAACAAAACAGACAAGUAUUUCUGUUCUUCUGGAAGAUACAUUCUUGCAGGUGGUCACAGGCAAUCGACAAGAAACAUAAUAAAGAAUACCGUAUGCCAGAAAGCGAUAAGUGCGUGGAAAAAAAAUUUAAAAGUGGAAGAUGUAAGGUGGAUGGGAAGUGCUGGGUGGGGGAGGUGAGUUGCAGUUUUAAAUAGUUUUCAUGGUCAGCCUCAUUGAGAAGGUGACUUUUGAAUAAAGGAUUGAAGGAAAUGAAGGACUUUGCCAUGGAAGAAGAGUGUACCUGGCGGAAGGGAUGGGCUGCAAAGGCCCUGGGGUAGGAAUGUGCUCUGUGCAUUCAGGGAAUCCCAAGCAGGCCAGGGUGGCUGGAGAAAGCAAGCAGGGAAGAGGAGUCUGAGAGGUGGUCAGAAAGCAGGCGAGGGGCUGGACAUGCAGGGUCUUGUGGGCCAUUGUUUAAGGACCGUGGCUGUCUUGAUUGGCUUGGGGCUGCCAUAACAAAUGCCACAGACUGGGUGGCUUACACAGAAAACUUUUGUUUCUCACAGUUCUGGAGGCUGAAAGUCCAAGAUCAAGAUGCCAGACGAUUCAGUUUCUUGUGAGGACCCACGUCCUGGCUUGUAAAGGGCCGACUUCUUGCUGUGCUCACGUGGCUGCUCCUCAGUUUCUUUCUGUCUUCUUCUUCUAAGGCCACUUAUCGCAUCAUAAGAGCCCCAUCCUCAUGACCUGAUGUAACCCUAGUUACCUCCCAAACAUUCCGUCUCCAAAUGCCAUCACAGCGGGGAUGAGGGCUCCAGUGUAUGAAUUUUAGGGGGAGACACAAACAUUCAGUUCUUUAACAUUGGCUUUUCCUUCAGAGAUGCUGUUCCAGAGAGGAAGCCGGGGCUGCAGUGCCACGAUGCUAAGACAUCUGGAAAAUGCUCUCAAAAACACAAGCCACUCUGGUAAUUCUCUUCAUUCAUUCAGCAAACAUGUACAUAACAUGCGGAAAAUAAAGUCAAACCACGUGUGUUGAAGACAAGACUAGGAUACAUAUUGUUCCUGAACUUGCUUUUUGAAGAAAUUCAGCAAUACAUCCCGGGAAUUGUUCCAGCUCAUGAAAUGUGGAUCUCACUCAUUCUUUUUCUUUUUUUUUUUGGUGAGGAAGAUUCACUCUCAGCUAACGUCUGUUGCCAAUCUUCCUCUUUUUUUUCUUGAGGAAGAUUAGCCCUGAGCUAACAUCUGUGCCAGUCUUCCUCUAUUUUGUGUGUGGGUCAUCGCCACAACAUGGCUUGACAAGUGGCAUAGGUCUGCACCCCCAAUCUGAACCUGUGAACUCAGGCCACUGAAGCGGGGUGCGCUGGACUUAACCACUACACCACGG
ensembl:lncRNA